GUGCUCACUUAGGCAGCCACAUAUACUAAAAUUGGGACAAUACAGAAAUUAGCAUGGGCCCUGCGCAAGGAUGACAUACAAAUUCGUGAAGCAUUCUAUUUGUUU